AUUGAACGCUGGCGGCAGGCCUAACACAUGCAAGUCGAGCGAGCGGCGGACGGGUGAGUAAUGCCUGGGAAUUGCCCAGUCGAGGGGGAUAACAGUUGGAAACGACUGCUAAUACCGCAUACGAUUGGACUGCCCAGGUGGGAUUAGCUAGUUGGUGAGGUAAUGGCUCACCAAGGCGACGAUCCCUAGCUGGUCUGAGAGGAUGAUUAGCAGCACAGGAACUGGGACAGAGUCCAGACUCCAACGGGAGGCAGCGGUGGGGAAUGUUGCACAAUGGGGGAGACCCUGAUGCAACCAAGCCGCGUGUGUGAAGAAGGCCUUCGGGUUGUAAAGGACUUUCAGCGAGGAGGCGUUACUCGCAGAAGAGGCACAGGCUAACUCCGUGCCAGCAGCCGCGGUAAUUC
rnacentral:rRNA from 1 species